GAUGGAGCGUACUAGCGUCGCGUGUGGGCGACCAAGUCUAACGGUAGAGCUAGAGAACGAUCGACCGGCAUUUUAAACUAUGUAACAACGUCGAAAUGGAUCUCGCGAGACUCAUAGAGUUUAAAACAUUCCGCGCGGCUGUGCAUCACCGACUUAAACGUAUGCCGGCGGAAAAGCGUGCGUACGUACUGUCGACUGAACGAAGACAGAAUCAACAGGGUAUGGUUCGGAAAUGUCGCAACAUGAACUCCAGUAUAUUCCGCGCCUGAAAAUCAUGUGACCAUCUAAAGACGGCAGAGACAUCUCUUAAGAAACGAAAGAACGAAAACCAGCGACACGUGGCGCGAUCAGUCGACAAGAAUGCGAAAAACGAAACAGCGACAUCGAACGUCAGCUUUGGUAUACGAACACUAAGGAAAAUCACACACAAGCAAACAGCCACCCUUCGGAUCUGCUUGCCCCCUACCCCACGACCCCUUGACAAACCCUCAAUCUCAGAGAUCCUGACGUCAAGCGAAAGAAACAACGCCCUUUGUCGUCGGUUAGAAAAUAACAACUACUGCAAAAAAACUGACAUUUUGUACGUGCGCCCUCUUUGCAUAACAUGGUGUAAUCUUUGUAACGCGCGUAAUGUUGUUGCCUACUUUUCAUGGCAGUUUGCAUCACACGAGCACGUUGUCAAUUUAUCGUUUCCACAAAUUGUCGACUCACCGUUUCAUUUUCUACGAUACACAUAGGCUCCACUUCCAUGACCCCCGUGGAUUUGCUCCUUCUCGUUCUUUCUCAAGUAAAUUUUUCGUGACACGCUUUGUUAAAUCUUGAUUCUAUCGUAUUCUCAACACUUUGCAAUAGCAACGUGUAUCUGUUUACAAACACUGCAAGGUCAUACAGCAGACCCCCAGACCUCUGACUGUCGGGUAUUUCAUAUUACGUCACGAUCACUGAUGAUAGCGCCACUUGCGGCGAAACCAUAAAAUGUUACGAAAGGAUCCUAUUCAAAAUUAACUGUCGGUAAGUAAUCGAACUCCGAACAAAUUUCAGCACGUUUCUGCGUAGAAAGUAUAUACACAUACCUACAAUGAAAUCAUUCAUUUAUAUGUUUGUUAUUUCCGUUGAAACUUAUUUCCUAUUAAACUAUAUGAUACAGAAAUGCAUUGUAUAUUAAAUCUACCUAUUGUAUCUCAUCUAUGACGAAACAUACUUCAACUUUUUGAAAAUUCAAACAUUUGAUGUUUCUAAUCAAUUUCAAAACCAAGAUGAUUCCAUGGAUAUAACCACGAAAAUAAUGUGAUUAACAUCACUUUUAAUACAAAACAUUUUUUUGUAUAAUCCGUUAUUUAGCUUUAAAAUUUUUAAUGAAAAUUAACGCUAUCGUCACAAAAAGUUUAGAAACAUGUAAUAUGAGCGAGAAUUCUCAAUUGGACUCUGAAUAUAACUGGAUCGUUCGAACUUGUACGAAUGCUUUUAAUGUAUAUUUAACUAUGAUACAUUUUACUCUCUACGAUAAUACCGUAAAUACGCAACCAAACAUCACACUUGCAGAAGCUUUGUCGUAUCCUUUAUUCAUGAUGGUGGUGGACCUUCUGGUGUACUCUAUAUUGCAAUGAAUAUUAAAAAUUAAAUCAGUUCAAAAUAAAUAUGGACGUAUAAAAGAUAGUUUUAUUACUAAAAGUACAAACUUGCAUUUUCGUCAUCGCUCUCUACAUCUAUACUUUACGUUGCAAAAUCAAGUUCUAAAUUCUGUGAUAUGCAUUAUUAAAAUCAUUCCUAUAUUUCUUUAAGUAUCCGUUAUCAUCAAAAUCGUCUCGAUUAUUUUUAGUGUAAACACUUGUAUAAGGGUAAUAUAUUUCUUGUUCGUAAUCUCUUUGUCGAUAUGGAAAAUAUCUAAGAAUAAACAAAUUAUUAAUAA